GGGAUUGUGGCUCAGUGGUAGAGCUCUCACCUUGCAUGUGAGAAUCCCUGAGUUCGAUCCUUAGCACCA
rnacentral:tRNA from 1 species